rnacentral:rRNA from 1 species
GUGGGGAAUUUUGGACAAUGGGCGCAAGCCUGAUCCAGCAAUGCCGCGUGCAGGAAGAAGGCCUUCGGGUUGUAAACUGCUUUUGUACGGAACGAAACGGUCCUGGUUAAUACCUGGGGCUAAUGACGGUACCGUAAGAAUAAGCACCGGCUAACUACGUGCCAGCAGCCGCGGUAAUACGUAGGGUGCAAGCGUUAAUCGGAAUUACUGGGCGUAAAGCGUGCGCAGGCGGUUUUGUAAGACAGGCGUGAAAUCCCCGGGCUCAACCUGGGAAUUGCGCUUGUGACUGCAAGGCUGGAGUGCGGCAGAGGGGGAUGGAAUUCCGCGUGUAGCAGUGAAAUGCGUAGAUAUGCGGAGGAACACCGAUGGCGAAGGCAAUCCCCUGGGCCUGCACUGACGCUCAUGCACGAAAGCGUGGGGAGCAAACAGGAUUAGAUACCCUAGUAGUCC